GGCGAACGCUGGCGGCGUGCCUAACACAUGCAAGUCGAGCGAGUUGAUUCUCUUCGGAGAUGAGGCUAGCGGCGGACGGGUGAGUAACACGUGGGCAACCUGCCUCAUAGAGGGGAAUAGCCUCCCGAAAGGGAGAUUAAUACCGCAUAAGAUUGUAGCUUCGCAUGAAGUAGCAAUUAAAGGAGCAAUCCGCUAUGAGAUGGGCCCGCGGCGCAUUAGCUAGUUGGUGAGGUAACGGCUCACCAAGGCGACGAUGCGUAGCCGACCUGAGAGGGUGAUCGGCCACAUUGGGACUGAGACACGGCCCAGACUCCUACGGGAGGCAGCAGUGGGGAAUAUUGCACAAUGGGGGAAACCCUGAUGCAGCAACGCCGCGUGAGUGAUGACGGCCUUCGGGUUGUAAAGCUCUGUCUUCAGGGACGAUAAUGACGGUACCUGAGGAGGAAGCCACGGCUAACUACGUGCCAGCAGCCGCCGUAA
rnacentral:rRNA from 1 species